rnacentral:tRNA from 1 species
GGAUUGUGGCUCAGUGGUAGAGCACUCGCCUGCACGUGUGAGGCCCUGGGUUCGAUCCUCAGCACCA